UACAGAGAGGCUCGUGUAUUACCAUUACAAACACUCAUUACACAUUGUCUGUACAUACUAACAGACUGCCAUAUUUAAAGGUUGGAUUGAGGGAUAUAUCCAACCCCUCGCAUCCCUGUAAAAGUCUCCCAAUGUCAUAGGCUGGGUUGAGGGAUAUAUCCAGACCCCUCACACCCCUGGAAAAGUCACCCAAAAUCAUAGGUCGGGUUGAGGGAUAUAUCCGACCCCUCGCACCCCUGGAAAAGUCACCCAAAAUAAUAGGUCAGGUUUAGGGAUAUAUCCAGACCCCUUGCACCCCUGGAAAAGUCACCCAAAAUCAUAGGUCGGGUUGAGGGAUAUAUCCAGACCCCUUGCACCCCUGGAAAAGUCACCCAAAAUCAUAGGUCGGGUCUAGGGAUAUAUCCAGACCCCUUGCACCCCUGGAAAAGUCACCCAAAAUCAUAGGUCAGGUUGAGGGAUAUAUCCAACCCCUCGCACCCCUGGAAAAGUCACCCAAAAUCAUAGGUUGGUUUGAGGGAUAUAUCCAGACCCCUUGCACCCCUGGAAAAGUCACCCAAAGUCAUAGGCUGGGUUGAGGGAUAUAUCCAGACCCCUCGCACCCCUGGAAAAGUCACCCAAAAUCGUAGGUCAGGUUUAGGGAUAUAUCCAGACCCCUUGCACCCCUGGAAAAGUCACCCAAAAUCAUAGGUCAGGUUUAGGGAUAUAUCCAGACCCCUUGCACCCCUGGAAAAGUCUCCCAAAAUCAUAGGUCAGGUUUAGGGAUAUAUCCAGACCCCUUGCACCCCUGGAAAAGUCACCCAAAAUCGUAGGUCAGGUUUAGGGAUAUAUCCAGACCCCUUGCACCCCUGGAAAAGUCACCCAAAAUCGUAGGUUGGGUCUAGGGAUAUAUCCAACCCCUUGCGCCUCUGUAAAAAAAUGUCAAGCCCCGGAAAACGACUUUGACACGAGUAUGUACAAAGUCAAGCCUCUAAAUACGACUUUGAGUAUGUACAAUACACAGUCACCCUUCAAAUAGCACGGUUUCCAAUAGCUCGGUUUUGGUUUUCCGUGGAUUUUCGAAGAAGAUUUUUAAGGAUUUUUAAAUUUCCCGACAAGCAGGAAAUUUAAAAAUCCUAAAACAUCUUCCAUGACAAUCCGUAUAAAACCGAACUAUUGGAAACCGUACUAUUUAAGGGCCAACUGUACUUGAAUUUUACUCCCAUGUGGGUCAUUAGCAAGGUCAUUAGCAAGUUGCUGUACAUAGAUGAUACAAAGUGUAGACUAGUUAUCAUGUGAAGUAAUUUAAUUAGAAUAGUAUUUUUUGUAGCGUUAGCUGUAAAAUGAUUUAUAGUAUUUCUCUGUACGUUAGCAGUCAGUUAAUUUAUACUGUAUGUUCGUAGCAUAAGCAUUCACAUAAUUUACACUAUUUUUCUAGGUUCAGCAUUUUAAUUUACAUUUUUUCUGUAGCUUAAGUAUUUAAAUAAUUUUCACUUUUUCUGUAGCUUAACCUGUAAAAUGCUGUAUGUUUGUGGUGUAAGCAUUCAUAUAAUUCACACUAUUUUUCUAGCCUCAGCAUUUACAGAGUUUAUGCUUUUUUUUUUUGUAGCUUAAGUAUUUAAAUAAUUUACACUUUUUCUGUAGCUUAAGCUGUAAAAUGCUGUGUUCGUAGCAUAAGCAUUCACAUAAUUUACACUAUUUUUCUAGGUUCAGCAUUUUAAUUUACACUUUUUCUGUAGCUUAAGUAUUUAAAUAAUUUACACUUUUUCUGUAGCUUAACCUGUAAAAUGCUGUAUGUUUGUGGCCUAAGCAUUCACAUAAUUCACACUAUUUUUCUAUCUUCAGCAUUUUAAUUUACACUUUUUCUGUAGCUUAAGUAUUUAAAUAAUUUACACUUUUUCUGUAGCUUAACCUGUAAAAUAAGUUAUACUAUUUCUCUGUAAGUUAAACCUUCAAUUGCUUUAUACUUAUUUUCUGUAGCUUAAUCAUUCACAUAAUCUACACUAUUUUUCUGUAGCAAAUAUAAGCUUUAAAAUAAAUUAUACUAUUUUUCUGUAAGUUAAGUUCAGUUGCUUUAUACUUAUUUUCUGUAGCUUAAUCAUUCACAUAAUCUACACUAUUUUUCUGUAGCAUAUAUAAGCUUUAAAAUAAGUUAUUCUGUUUUUUCUGUAGCUCAAUCAUUCACAUAAUCUACACUAUUUUUCUGUAGCAUAUAUAAGCUUUAAAAUAGGUUACUCUAUUUUUCUGUAGCUUAAUCAUUCAGAUAAUCUACACUAUUUUUCUGUAAGUUAAGUUCAAUUGCUUUAUACUUAUUUUCUGUAGCUCAAUCAUUCACAUAAUCUACACUAUUUUUCUGUAGCAUAUAUAAGCUUUAAAAUCAGUUAUUCUAUUUUUCUGUAGCUUCAUCAGUCAUAUAGUUUAAUAAGAGUCCACUGAGUUGCAUUACGUCGUGUCAUGGCCAAGGCUGGACACGAGACGGCUGGUUGUUAUCACUGGAGCCCCAAGAGGUUGGUGGCGCUGCAUGUAGUUGGUUCACCCGAGUCUGAGGUGAUUGAUUGAUUGAUUGAUAGUUUAUUGUUGCAGGUAAACAACAAAGGAGAAGGGAGGAACAUGCCAUCCCAACCCCCAGGCAGGACAGAGUGUGAUUAUACAACUAUUAAUUGGCAACUUGCAGGCACACGGCACACUGUUCGAUUUCAUGAAAAAGAUACGAUUCACUUAAGAAACACAUAUUUGUCUGUGCCGAGGACAAUAAUCCAGGAGGUAAGGUUACGGUGUUAUAGUGUGCCGGAAUUCGACGGAGGUGGUUUUAAUAUUGUUGGUGCUGGCUCAGAAGGGCGCCACACUGUAAAUAUCAGCAGCAACCUUACUUAUUAACAAAACAGCGGUCUGCAACACUACUGAUCACCUCAAACUCAAAAUCUACUAUAAUUGGUGGUAUUGAUCAUUGCUGUCUGUAUAUUGCACAUACAGUGGAGGUGUAUACAGGAAGACUUGGCAUUGAUGGGAUUGGAUGAGCAUUGGGCAGAAGACAGAGUAGAAUGGAGGAGAGCCACAAAGCGUCCAGCCGCUCAGGAAGUGAACACGGACGUUAAACAAAAUGAUGGUGAUGAUAUCGCACACACAUAUGAGCGUUUCUGAAGUGAAUUGUAUCUUCUUUCACAAAAUCGGACUUGCCGUGUGGCUGCAGGUUUCCGUCGCACGAUAAUGCACACCUCAGACUCGGGUGAAGCGACCAUAGCACCGGACACAUCGCCAGGGAGGUGGAGUUAAGAGUCGCUCCUUACAACCCUUGGGAGCAGAUGAUGUGAGACCCAAAAGCAUUUAACGGUACCGACCUCAAGGCUGUGACACGCCCAAGAAGUGUGGUGAGAAAUAUUUCCGUGCAGCGCUGAGUGGAGGGAGUGUGUGGUGAGGAACAGUUCUGGCCGGAGGGGUUUAUCUCUCCCCCGUAAACCAACACUGUGAGGGAGAUGAAGGACAGAAUACCCUCCUUGAGCUGACUCCUUUGACGUAAAAACAACGACAAAAACUGAGGCAUAACAGACUAAAGUUCUCGAUUGUGUCUGGAAACAUGCGACCUUAAAUUUUGUAUGUAAUUACGUAUUUAUUUAUGUAUUUAUUUUAGACUAAUGUGUUGAUUUACUUUCCUAUUACCAUCAUUACAGACAUCAUUGUUAAUAUUUGAUGACUCACUCUUUUUGUUUAUCUAUAUUUCUUUACGUCGGUGCUGCCAGCGAUGUAUUCUGAUCCCAGUUUGACGAGGCUGAGAAUUAAACUAUGUACAAUAUGA